GUUUUGGGCUCCGGCAAUAGCGCGGUAAACGGACUCGAAAAAGAUUUUCACUUUCGCAAGUCGAAAACUGUUGAAGAAAAUAAUUGUUUCUCUGGGGAAAAAUAGGAAUAAUGUGGUUCUCAAAUGCAUCAGCUUCAACGGAUUGCACGAAAAACGAUGGUUUGUCAACAAAGGGUUUCGGCGAACCAGGAUAGAACAUCCGCUGCACGCCGGUUAUAUAUGUACCAAUAUAUCAUCAGAGUAAAGGAUGUGAUACUGUCGCAGCCGCUGCGACAAUCUUUUCUAAGCUUACAUUGUGUGGUAAAUGCAUGUAAAAAAUGAAUCAAUGACAAUAAAUAAAUGAUACUUUUUGCAAUGUCGUCUCAGAAUAA